rnacentral:rRNA from 1 species
GGAUCAUUACCGAGUUAUACAACUCAUCAACCCUGUGAACAUACCUAUAACGUUGCCUCGGCGGGAACAGACGGCCCCGUAACACGGGCCGCCCCCGCCAGAGGACCCCCUAACUCUGUUUCUAUAAUGUUUCUUCUGAGUAAACAAGCAAAUAAAUUAAAACUUUCAACAACGGAUCUCUUGGCUCUGGCAUCGAUGAAGAACGCAGCGAAAUGCGAUAAGUAAUGUGAAUUGCAGAAUUCAGUGAAUCAUCGAAUCUUUGAACGCACAUUGCGCCCGCCAGUAUUCUGGCGGGCAUGCCUGUUCGAGCGUCAUUACAACCCUCAGGCCCCCGGGCCUGGCGUUGGGGAUCGGCGGAAGCCCCCUGCGGGCACAACGCCGUCCCCCAAAUACAGUGGCGGUCCCGCCGCAGCUUCCAUUGCGUAGUAGCUAACACCUCGCAACUGGAGAGCGGCGCGGCCACGCCGUAAAACACCCAACUUCUGAAUGUUGACCUCGAAUC